GCCUUCAAAGAUAUCUGAUAAGCAAAUACCGUUCGUUGAUCCCGUUCAGGAUCAGCUUCUGGCUCUGCAACUUCCUUUUUUUCUUUAUAUCUUCUGGUUUCUCUGUCCCUUUCCCUUGACUCCUUCUCCCUCUCCCUUUCUUUUUCUUUAUUCUCCCUGUCCUCGCUCCUCUCUUUUUCCCUUUCAUCCAAAUCAGUUUGAUGCCUUUCUGAUUGGCUCCUGCUUCUACGCAGCCGCUUUCUUUCCCUUUCCCUGUCCAUUUCAUUAUCACGAUCAUGCUUUCUUCUGUCUCGAUCAUGAUAACAUUCUCGAUCUCUAUCCCUGCCCCUCUCUUUCCCACUUCUCUCCUCCUUAUCUCUACCUCUGUCCUUAUCUCUAUGUUCCCGGUUACUCCGUUGUCUGUCCCUCUCUCCAUCUCCAGAUCGUGAAGGAUGACGAGAUGAACCCUUUUCUUUAUACUGGCCAUGAUCACGCGAUUCAUCUCCAGAUUUUGAAUGCUUUGAGCGAUGAUAAUCAUCCUCAUCAUCCUUCUCAUUACUCCUGCGUUUUGAACUGGAGCUGCUAUAUUUAUCCCCAGGCUUCUUGGCAUCACCACCACCAUUGGCAGUGUCCUUAACUUUAUGAGAUUCAGGGUUUUCAACUGUUUGCUCCAGGUAAUCGUACUCAUCAAAAUCCAUUUUCACUAUUGUCUAACCAGACAAGCAACCACUGUGCUCUGAAAUGAAGAUUUUGUCUUUGAGGAGUGAGUGUCUCUCUGUAUCUCUAUG
rnacentral:misc_RNA from 1 species